rnacentral:rRNA from 1 species
UCUGGUNCAUUUAGGAGAGUAAAAGUCGUACCAGGGUUCCCGUAGGUGAACCUGCGGAAGGAUCAUUA